UAUAUAUAAUCCAGCUGAGAUACUAUUAAUAGUAUUAAGCGCGCAAUUGGUAUUAUUAAGUUUUCUACCAUUAGAUUUUUCCUUGAUCAAUUCUACCCGUUAGAUCAUACUAUUCUUUCUACUAACCACCUCCUAAAUCUUAGGAAGACCACCACUAAAUCCUAAUAAGCCACUAUCAUCACAACCAUACAAUUUUUCAUCCAAGAAUUAUAAAGUUAGUAAUAUUAAAAAGGCCAAAAUACUAUUAAUAGCAUUCUAGAGAGAAUGAUAGCAUGCUACCAUUUUAUUCCUUUUUUCAAAAAUAAACUUAAUUAAAUAAAAAUAUGAAAUAACUAAGUUUCGAACUUGAAACCUUAAAAUAUCAACCAUUAACUUCUUUGUCAUUUGUGCUAUAGUCGACGUAUGCUUCAGUACCAUGAAUAAAUUUGAAUUAUAAAAAAUAAAAUUGAAAAGAGAAAACGAUGUUGAAGAUAAACAAGAUUGAAUGGGAGAGCAUAUUGGUGGUGUUUCCUUUUUUUUAUUUUUGAGGAUGGCGAUUCUACAUUUUGCUGAAUAAUUUUUGGUAUUCAUGGUGUUUAUAAUUAAACAGGAAUCCCGCAAUGGAAUUUGGACAAGUUGACACCUUCUCUUUCAAAUUGUACCAGCAUUUUUUUUUUUUUUAAAGCCUCGAUAUUACCUGAACUCUAAAUUUAGUACAUAUAUUUAUAUAUUAUAUAUAAUAAACUUCGAGUAAGUUUCCUGUACUUUCGAAAGUACGGAGAUCUCCGUGCUUGUAAGUUAUUUUCAAUAAUAGAAAAUUCGAUUCGACGAUCGGCUCCAUUAAGUAUAAUCUACUCUAUUGAAACUAUUUAGAAACCAAAUUUUAUAAUUUUUUGAUAUCAUUUACCAAGCGAUCAAAAUGUCUCAAAAAUGACUAUUUUAACGGCCGACGUGGCAUGUUUUUAAGUUCAACGGUGUAGAAGUAUCCAAAUUAGAUGAAAAUUUAAUAGAAAAUUCUACUUAACAUCAAUAGUAAGAGCAAUACUUCCGAUUUGAAAUUUGAGUCCUUUAUCACUAUUUUUAAUAAAAUUUUUAUUUUCAGCCGUUCUUUUUGAGGCUACUCGUUUACUAGACAAACAAAGUCAAAAAAUUAUGAAAUUUGGUUUCUAUGUAGUUCUAUAACGUAGAUCAUGUCUAACAGAACCGAUCGCCGAGUCGGAUGUCCCAUUAUUGAAACAACUUACAAGUAUGGAGGCUUUCGUACUUUCGAAAGCAUAGGAGCCUAGCUCAUAAACUUCAUAUCAAAGCUUUUUACAAUGAAAAAUGCUACUUAUAUGUCUAUAUAUAAAUAUAAAUCUUUUUUUUUUUUUGAAAGACAGGUAGCACGCUUUCCGCUUCGUUUAUUUCAUUUAGACGUAAACUUAGCUAGAAAUAUGAAUCAACUAGGAUUCGAACUUGGGUCUCGGAUACCAACCACCAAUUCCUUUGCCACUUGCUCUAAGGACAAUCGGUAUAUAAAUAUAAAUCUUACACUAAGAAAUAGGUGAUAAAACUAGAGAGAAAAAUAACGGCCCAUUGGGUAAAUGAGUACAUGCUUUUUACACCCAUCUAUAAGUGCAUAAAUUCGUAUUACUCUUUAACAACAUUAGAUGGAAGGUACAAUAUAUUAAAGUGAGGCAUUUUGCUGGACCAAAGAGGGCCGUAAUCUAUAAUAAUGUCCCCCAACUUUUCCGUCUUUAAAUACCACAGCAAAGUUAAUUCAUCAAUCAUGCACUCUUCAAAUUAAUGUCUAUAAUAAUGUAUUCCUAUACUAUGCUAAGGUGCAGGAAAAAAAAAAAAACAAAAGAACGAUCUCUAAUAUGAGAUAAAAAUUAUUUGUCUCUAAUAUAAAAUAAUGUUAUCUGCUAUAGUAUCAUGUAACUUUAAAAUGGGACUUCAAAAUUAACACAUAUUUGUAUAGUGGAUAACUAAUAAAUUAAACGAUCCCACGUUGGUCGCUGCAGCCAAAAUUAUCUCGUCUCUUCCCAAUCAAUCAUAGUCCACUGAUCGUGAGAAAAUAUAAAAGACAAAAUGGAGAGAAAUUAUAUACAAAGCGACGAAAAAAAGCGGGUCAUACUGAACCACUCAGAAAUCGACACGUAGCGCUUUGUCGAGGAAUCCUAUGCUUAGGAGCCACGCGGCGCACGUGGAGUGCGCUUGAAAGAAACUUCGCUGUGUGAGCGAGUGGAAGAGCAUCUGGACCCCGGUCGGAGAAAUGCACCAUUAUUACAUUCCAACACCCCGUUUAAAUAAACAGUUAGGCACCUUCCCUAAUUUAAAGAAACCAAAUAUUUACGAUCCGUUACGACGCGGGUGCGGUACACAGCGGUCCCGUUACCAGCAACGAGGUUAGUGGGUCCCAAAAUGUGGUCCCGUUUCCUGGUGCAGUUAGAAUUCAAAAGAAAGGCGUGGAAACGUCCUCCCCUCCGUCCUUGGGAAAUGCUUUAUAUAAGCAUAGAACCGUAAAACGCGACGCAGGAGCGCUCUCCCUCUCUUUUCCCUCCCCGCUCUCCUCCCCCGCUCUUCGAAAGAAGUUAGAGAGAGAAAGAGAAGAGGAAGGAGAGGGAUGGGAACGAGAGGAGCGGGAGGUGCCGCCGCCUCCUCCUCGGGCGGCGGCGGCGGCGGCAGCGUCUCCUUCCUCGGGACGAAGAUCUCCAACGAUCUCGCGCGUCUACUCCGAGGAGCGUGUAACCUAUUCCCCGAGCAAGUAGGGCACAUACUGCGAUCGCUCCNUUCGACGGAUCCCUCGGGACGAAGAUCUCCAACGAUCUCGCGCGUCUACUCCGAGGAGCGUGUAACCUAUUCCCCGAGCAAGUAGGGCACAUACUGCGAUCGCUCCGGGCGAAGACGAUCGCGCCGCUGCUCCGCGUCGCCAUCGCCGCGUGCUUGAUCAUGUCGGUGAUGCUCCUGAUCGAGGCCGUCUCCAUGGCCGCCGUUAGCCUCGCCGUCAAGAUCCUCCGCCGACGCCCCGAGAAGCGGUACAGGUGGGAGCCGAUCGCGGGCGAUGAGGAGGAGGGGAGCCUCGCGUACCCGAUGGUCCUCGUCCAGAUCCCCAUGUUCAACGAGAAGAAGGUAAAGCCCUAACCUGAGAGAUUAGGUUUUCAGGUGUCUAAAAGGGGAUAACGAAGGUGAGAUAGGAGCUGGAAUAACGGGGGACAAAUUCCGAUUUUGUAGGUGUACAAGCUCUCUAUCGGUGCGGCAUGUGAGCUCGCGUGGCCGUCGGAUCGGAUGAUCAUCCAGGUUCUUGAUGAUUCCACGGAUUCGACGAUUAAGGUACGUUGCUGCAUCGCGAACCCUUUAUCUCCAUCGUUCAUAGAUUUUGAUGUAGAGGUUGAAUAUGCGUAGAUUUUUACACGGGAGGAUGCGUAUACGAUGGCAUUGCUCUAGCGGGGUCGGUAAAGGUAAAUUCGUGAUAAGGAGAUUGCCGUACGAAGUCACAUGGAAAACAUUAGCUAGGUUUCUCUACGACGAAAGGACCUAGGGUACAGUGAAUGUAGGACCACGCUUUAAAUCUUUUGGAGUUGGCAACAAGGAGAUUAGUUACGGAUUAUUUAAAUCAAAGGAGAUUAUGUGAUUGAUGAUGUUUGGGUUAAGGCAUUCGGUCGGAUUAAGUUGGAAGGUAAUUGUUAGAAGAUUCCUAUUAUAUAUGUUGAUUUGGCGAGCUGAACAGGCUCGCCAAAUCGGCCUGUGCUGUUGAUAGGAGGGGAGCGGCACAAUUUGCUGUGCGGGCCCCCCCCAUCCAACGGAGGCUGCGGGAAGUCCGUAAAAAAGAAAUUUCCCUUGUUAAAAACCAUGUGAAAUCCACAGGGAUUGUUUCAUGGAUUAUUCUAUGCCGAGGAUUUGACUGAUUGAUUUAAAUUAAUAAAGCCUGAGUGGUGCUAAGGGACUAUUCUACGCAGAGGGCUUGACUGAUUGAUUUAAAUAAAGCCUAAGUAGUGCUAAGUGGUCGAUCAGUGUUGAGGCUGAUGCAUUUGUAAAAUCAAGUUCAAAUCUUGAUGGAUGCUGGCACGCAUCUUGAAGCAAUCACAACUCACAAACAGAUUUUGUACUGAAACUAUAAUACUGUCUUAGACCAUGGAUAUACCCAAUGGAAAUCUUGAGCCUUGACUGAGAGUUGAGAAUGAGAUGCAAGUUCUUCAUGUUUGGACGAAGCAACUAUUCUUUUGGUUAUCUACCUAUUUUUAUGCAAUUCUUUGCCAUUAAAGACAAAAUUUUCAAUCUUUGAAGUUUAAUACGUUCAUAAAUAUGGCACCAUACAUAAUAACAUUUCUCCGAAGAACAUGCAGAGCCCGUGAAGAUUUACUUUCAUGCAGUACUCAAUGGCAUGAAACAAUCAUUUAAUAACUAUGGGUCCUUUGCAGUAACUUUGUUGUCUUUUACAAUUCUAGCAUCAGGGAUCCAUCCGAUCUUGUGGAAGUAGGUAGAUGGCAAAUAUUUCACGUCUUCGUUUUCAUUUUUAGACAAUCUGGCAUCCUUGUAAUGUGGCUCAUUAUCCCAAAUCUUGAAAGUGGUAAUGCCAUUAACCAAGACAGCCAACUUCAAGUCUCAUUGAUUUGUUUGCAAAUUGCUAGUGCAAGCUCUCUUAAAUGAAAGGAGGCUAAAGUUCAUCUUUGUCAGAAGAUCUUGACACUGUUCAAUGUUUUGUAGUGUUAAUUUCUUUCAUAUCUACUCUCAAUGUUUCUCUCAGGAUUUGGUGGAGCUUGAAUGCAAGCUUUGGGCUAGCAAAGGCAUGAAUAUUUUCUAUGAAGUUAGAGACAAUAGGAAAGGGUAUAAAGCAGGUGCCUUGAAAGAAGGAAUGGAGCAUAGUUAUGUCCGACAAUGUGACUUUGUUGUGAUAUUUGAUGCUGAUUUCCAGCCAGAAUCGGACUUUCUUAACAGAACUAUCCCAUUUCUCUUGCACAAUUCAGAUGUUGCUCUAGUUCAAGCACGAUGGGAGUUUGGUAAGCCCUCAGCAUCUUCACAAGAUCCUUGUUCCCACAUAGAGUAUAAGAAGUCCUCACAUAGAUAUUUUCGGAGUUAAAAGUUUAUGGGAUGAAAUUCUCUUCCUAUUUCACUCCGCUGCAGUGUACUAGAAAUAGAAGAAAGUUUAAUUUAUCUGAUAUAUCCCUUUUCCCGGUUGACAGGAAGUUGCUGACUGGGAUUUCGGGACGAUUUUGCAGUGAAUUUCAAGGAAUGCCUGAUGACAAGGAUACAAAAGAUGACCCUAGAUUAUCAUUUCAAAGUAGAGCAAGAGGCAGGUUCAUCCACCUUCGCCUUCUUCGGAUUCAAUGGUAUUCCAUGCUACUCUUUGUUCUUAUUCAUACUAUUGAACAAGAAAAGUUGGUUUGUUAUCGUUGACAGGAAAUAUUCCAAUAGUUGCUUUUUAUCACAGAUAUUAUUUUUGGUCUUCAAUUGACAAAUGAACUUAAAAGAGUUUUGUAGUCUGAAAGGGAAUAACAAGAGACGAGAUACAAAAUUUUGGCUUAUCUAUAUUUGUUAGUUUUAAUUUUCAUUCUAAUUUGCAAAAGAAAGUAUACAGAAAGAUGCCAUGAAGAAAGUUCAUCUGUUUGAGGCUCUACGUAAGUUUAUUGCAGGAUAUUCAAUAUAAACAAAGAUAGCGUCAAAAUUCCAUGCUAAUCUAAGAUGCAUAUCAGAAUUGUAUGUUAACCUGUGAUGCGUAUACCCAAUACAAAUGGGAAAGAAAAAUUUUUUAAAAAAAUACAAAGACCUCAUACAGAAGUAGUUGUGCAAGUAUUGAAGUAUCUGAUCAUUAUUUACAUGCCAUGCCUAACCCUCUGAGACCUACCUAAAUACAGGGUGAAAGUUGGCCUCCUGUUAUAGAAAUUGUGUGGUGCUUAUGCCCUAGGUGAUGUGGUCUCUGGCUACAUCAACAUAUGUGGUUCAUACACUUUUUUCUGAAUGUUGAUUCCAAAAGACGCAUUCAUUGAAUAGCUUGUCUUCCACGUUGCCUAUUUGCUUCUAGGAACUGCUGGUGUUUGGAGAAUUUCUGCCAUAAAUGAAGCUGGAGGCUGGAAAGAUCGAACCACUGUGGAGGACAUGGAUUUGGCUGUACGUGCAAGUCUUAAAGGAUGGAAAUUUGUAUAUAUUGGCGACAUCAAGGUAUUUAAUCAACAAUAUCUAGUGUGUUUUGUGCCGGUUGUUCCAUAAUAAAUGAGUCUCCAAAUAAAGAAUGCCAAACUUUUAGCGGCAGUGGAUAGAAGUCAUGAUCAUCAAGCUUGAAGGGUUUAAGGACUUCCAGCAUUCUCAUAACUCGUAACACAAUUUCUCUCAAUAAUUAUAGUACUAUUAGUGCACAUGCUGUAGAAGUAACAGUAUUCUAUUUUGAUACAAAAAGAUUAAUAAUCAUCUUAUCAUGUUCCUUAGCAUGUUUAGUCUGAAGAUUCUGAAGAGGUGGCUAGCCUGAAACAUAGAAUGCUAAUGACGUUAUAAUAAGCUGCAGGUCAAAAGCGAACUGCCAAGUAUUUUCAAGGCAUACCGUCAUCAGCAGCAUAGGUGGACUUGUGGAGCCGCAAAUCUAUUCAGAAAAAUGGGAAUGGAGAUACUAACAACGAAGGUAAAUCCUGUCUAACGGUUAGUGAUAAUAGGGCAUAUGCAUAAAUUGUAUACUCUAUAUACCAAUACCUUGUUUCCUAGAAAUUGCAUGACAAAUUGAAAUUUAAAUGUUUCAGUCAGCUUUGUCAGUCUAAGACAGCUGAGAGAAUAGAAUAUGAUAUAUUCAGUCGCCUGGCUUGGCUACUAAACGAUACAUUCCUUUAUGGAAAAAUUGCAAUACAGACAUUGUAAUUUCUUUUUUAUUUAUAUGGAGCAGGAAUUAUCGAUUUGGAAGAAGCUUUAUCUGCUCUACAAUUUUUUCUUCGUAAGGAAGGUUAUAGCCCAUGUGGUUACCUUUUACCUCUACUGUGUUCUGGUUCCUGUAUCAGUCAUGGUUCCAGAGGUCAAUAUUCCAGUGUGGGGAGUCGUUUAUAUUCCAACUGCUAUUACUCUUCUCAAUGCCAUUAGGAAUCCAAGGUUUGAUACUCUCACUCUCACUCUCUCUUUGCAGAUAAACUUUUUAUGCAUCUCAAACUCUUCUUUCUUGUUUGGUUUACUCAUCACAAUAAUACACGCUUUCAUCUCUUCCUACACAAUCAGUGACUGUCUUGGAUUUAACUCUUUGGCUUGGUUGACACAGGUCCAUCCAUCUUCUGCCCUUAUGGGUUCUGUUUGAGAAUGUGAUGUCUAUGCACCGGAUGAAAGCGACUAUAAUGGGUCUUUUGGAGGUUGGAAGUGUAAAUGAGUGGGUUGUGACAGAGAAGCUGGGAGAUGCUUACAGGGCAAAGCUGGACGUGCCGCUACUUGAGAAGCAUUCAACCAGAUUAAGAGACAGGUAAUGAAAAUCUUUAUUUAAUGGCUUUAAUUGUGGUCAUCUGAUAACUGAUAUGUUGUACCUACAUUUUCAGAUUUACCUUCUCGGAAAUUGGAUUUGCAACUUUUCUCUUCUUUUGUGCGUGCUACGACAUUGCCUUUGCAGGGAAAUAUUAUUACGUAUACAUCUUCCUCCAGUCUAUAGCAUUUUUGGUUGUUGGAUUUGGCUAUGUCGGCACAUUCAUAUCCGACUUGUAGCAUAUGCCUCCUAAUAACUUGAUAACUACUGACAUUUAUUCUAUUUUGAGAGCAUUCGGAUCAUAUUAGUGAGAGGGAAAACUCUUCAGAUGGAUAUCUCAAGUUGAAAAAAUUAUUUGACUCCAUGGGGGCCAGAAAUAAAUAUUGCUCGACAAAAGGGCCGUUUUUUUAAAAGGCUUUCUCCUUAGUUCAGUUUCCUAUUUCAGUUAAGAGGAGUUUAAUCGUCAUCUUUCAUAGAAGCAGAAUCCGAGUGAGAGACAAGGGAUUUAAUUAUGUGGAGGCUUUGAAAAACUAAAGUAUUUAUGUUAUUUGUUGCUUUACUCCUGUAAGCUUCAAUUUUUAAUGGUACCUAUAUGUUUUUUCAGCUGUGGUAGCUAAUCAAUGCUGAAUGUUUAUUGUCUGGGAAGUUCACCUAAAACGUGUAAGGAUUACUGUAUUCGGUUAUUAUGUGAUAACUACCUUUGUUAGUUGACGCAUAAUCUCUUCUAUUAUCAGUCGACCCAUGUUGUUUUUUCCAGCGUAGUUAUGUUGCAUCGCUUGGCUAUUCAUAAAUUUUCUGUUUCUUUUUCCCUCAAAACAUCUGCUUGUUGGCAAUGGGUUAAAGAUGACGCAUUCACAGCUUUCAGAUAGAAUGAUACUUUUUACUUUCCUGAAGUCUUAGGAAGGAAAAUUCUCUCUUUUAAUCGUGCUUGUGUUUUUCUCUUGCAAGUUGCAACCGAUCCUCCUUUUAUUUCUGUAAUAAUUUGGACUUGAUUGUUAUUAUCAUAACUUCAACUGCCUUAAGGAGGCUGUGUGCUUACAUUUUGUCCCCAUCUGACAAUUUUUAGCCCCUUGUGUUAGUUACAUGGCCAAUGGAAAAGAUCAUAGAGAAGCAAUGAAAAAUAGAGAGAGAGAACAUUUUGAACAGGCCGAUCUAGUGGGAUUAUCUCAAAAUUCUAAUAUAAAAUGUAACUACCAUCACGAAGCAGGGUUCAAUCAGUAAGAACGUUGAAGUUCACACAAAUACAACGCAUGGCCAUAGCAUGAUCUGCCAUUUUCAAGGCUUCCUAAGUUUCCUGCAUUAUUUUAUCCUAAAAACACUGGAAUAGCAUAUAUGUCCUGCAUAGGAUUAUGGCACAAGCAUGGAAUUCCUUCUUUUAAGCCUGCGCCUGCAUGCAGACAAAGACACAAACAAGAAGAAACAAAUAAGAGGUUACCAUCUUUAGAACUCAAUGGCAACUGCAUUCUCCAAUUCCAAAUGUUCUUUCUCUCCAACUAACUGUUCAGAUCAAUCUGUUCUUGCAGCAUAAAACCACCAUUUUCCGUCUCACAAAGGCUCCUCUUUGCAUUUAUAGGCCGUUCAUCACCGUACUCGCCAUUGAUUCUGCUGCAGCUCCUUUUAAAACCAGUUAACUCGUCACCCCCUUUUGACAGAGAACUCUUUAUUUUACAUCCCAUUUUGUUCUCUCUCUCGAAUUCUUCACUAGUUACACAGCUAUCCGUGGAGCAAUCGCCUUGUUGCGCUCGGUUAGGAUUGAAGAUAGUUUGAGAUAACAGGGAGCUCGGGCACAGUGUCUCUGCUGCAGAGACUAGCUCAGAGAGCUCGGUUAUUGAACUAGAACUAUACGCAGCUAGUGUUUCGUGAGCUUUUCUUAGCACAGAUUGCAAAUACUUCCCCUGCGCUUCGAUCCUUAGCUGCAAGUGUUUCUGAACCUGAAGAGAUCAUAACAACUCAAUUUAGAUACUUGUAACAGGAAAUACUGCUUGAAAAAGUAUUUUACCGUCUCACCUCAAUCUGUUCCUGUAACUUCUUUUGUACUGCCAUGUGCAUCUGCAACAUGUUCCUGAAUAAAAAAGACAUUCUUAUUUAGAAAAAAAUGAUGAAAAAUGUGCCAUGACAUGAGUUUAAUUCGGUAAUCGUGGUCAUUCAUCAUACUCAUUAAACUGCUGAACUGUUCUGUUAUUGUCUGGGUGAGCAGUUCUGUUUUCCGAUGCUUCAGUUUGCGCUUCGUGCCAAUCUGUUUCAGAAAUAAGUUCAAUUCUGAUUGAAAUUUUUCCCAAAAUUAAGACGCUCUAAUAGCAUUAUGGCAUAUGCCUCACCUUCUUCUUUACUGCCGCAAAGAGUGCCUGGGUCUCUACUCUUCGCGAGCCUGUAUUUCUGCAAGAAGAGAUAUCGCAUAUACACAUGCUCAUUUUGGAGAACUUAAAAUCUUUUUCAUUAAAGCAUUCCCGGGGAAUCCGAUUGGUUGAAACUUGGGAAAAUACCUGGAGGUGGCUCUUAAGAUGGUACAGAGUAAGCCCCGGAACACCCAUCAUCCGCAUAACUGAUUUUGGUGUUGCUUCUGAAAUCAAAGAGUGAACUCAAAAACCGUUAAUUCCCUAUUAUAAAGCACAAGGAAUGCCUCAGCAUCAAGGACAUCAUAAUAUCUUACUAUCAGCUCCGCCGAGGUGCGAGACCGCACGAAGGAAUUGCUCGUGAAGCUCUCGUGUCCAUCUAACCCGAGGCUUAGCGUCGGCCGGUAAAGCCAGCCGACUGUUUCCGGUUUGAUCAGGCAUUUCGGUCGAACCCAUGUCGAAAAUAGACUCAUAAACUCCAAUGAAAGCAUGAGUAGGUGCCAACAACACCUAAAUAGUAGAUUUGGCGCCUGCGUUCCUACCUCUUUGUAAACAUAUAUAGAUAUAUAUAUAUAUAUGCAAGUUUUAUAGGAGAUGCUCUCUUUUUUUUUUGUGUUGCUAUCCUUGCACUCCACUCAAUCUUCCCAUGUAAUGAAUUGAUUAGUGGAACUCAUGGAAGAAUAUAUGCAUCAGCUGUGGGCCACAUAUUUCCUCCACUCCAUGUCACCUUUCUUUAUUUUGCUCCUCCUUUUCAUUUUCCUUUCACUUAUUUGACCUGAAAGGGAGAGAAUCUUUGAUGAGUAAAGGGAGAAAAGCAAAACAGUUCCAACUAUGGUUCUCAAAAGGAUAGAAAAAAGAAAAGUUGUGUGCAUUGUUUUCUCUCGCUGUGUUCUCCUCAUCUCCCCCACCCUUUGUAGGAUUCUCUUCCUCAUUUGAGAGCCCCACCACAUUGAAUAAUGCGUGUGUAACUUUUCCCCCAAAGCAUUUUGCUUUGUACACCAAAACUUUUCCAAUUACCAUGAGGGGAAAAAAAAAAAAAAAUUGCCAUAUGUGAAAAGGAUAAUUUCGCAAUUCGGAAGGGUGCCGUGUUUUCUGGUAGCGCUGGCAAAUUCUCUUUGGCUUUUCUGCUGCGAAGGGAAUCGCAGAAUCAAUCGAGAUCUAGUAACAGAAAAAAAAAAAAAAAAAAAAAAAAUCAUCGCAACUUACAUACCUUGUUAGUCAAUUGAUGAUUACAUGCUCCAGAAUGAGUUAGAUUGUUCAAAAUGGCCGACAGCGAUAGUACAAUUACAAUGCAUGGGAUUAUAGCUGGAGAAAUUGUUCUCAUCUUUUUUUCGCCGCGAAAUCCAGUUAUUGCCUCCAUAAAACUGUUCACACUUACAUUACUUAUAACCAAGGUCAACUUCGGUUGAUUAAGUAGAAUGUUACACGUUAGGAACACUUUGAUCUUUCAUUAGCUGCUCCUGAAGGAAAAGGAGGAGGGAAUAUACAUUUGCAAUUCCUUGGCUUCUUUUUCGGUUUCUCUUUAUCGCAGCUUCGCUCUAACCUACCACUAAAGUGGGUUGAUAAAUCUCGAGAUCGAAUAAAUAACUGCAGGCCUGCGAACGAUCAAGGGUGCUUUUCUUUUUAAUCGGCCGCUGUACUUGCGAAAGCUUUCUCGCUUUAAAAUAUUCCGAAACAAGUAAAGCAGAUUCUGGGAUGCUCAAGAGGGGCAGUAGGUGAGCGCCUGCCACAAGUCAUUUGAGCAAAGAUGCUCAUCAAUAAUUUCUAAAGAGAUCAUCAAAGUCCGUCGACGCAGAAAUUUCAAAAGCAUACGAUUAAAGGAAGCGACAAUAUGGCCCAAGGAAUCAGCUAAUGUACUAGUAACAUGCCCCACUCCAAUAAUUUCUUUUUAGGUGCCACUUGAAUCACAUGAAGGUAACAAUGCUAAUCGAUGUAAUUAUACGCACGCACCGCGUCACGUUUUGGCCAACAAAAAACAGAAAAAUUGAUGCAUGAAGAAUUUCUUUUACAGUGGUAGCUAGCCUACUCAGAGAAUAAGUGCUUCAGCUAUUUUUCUGUGGCAGGAAAAAUGAGCUCUCAGAUCUCCUACUGCAUUAUUUUUCUGCUGUACCAUAUCUAUCUUCUGUCCUACGACUCAGUACACACAGAUCUCUGUAGAUAGUCACAUACAUAGAUAGAUACAUGUAGAAACAUAUGAAUAAGUGGUGUAAUAAGUCAUAACUUGACUAAGCUUUGAGUCUCUCAAAUUUAAGCCUGAAAUGGUGAAAUGGUGAAUGAUUAAUUAUAACAAGUACACACUCCAACUUGUAGUGACACACCUACAAACACAUGGCCUUUUGAUGCAAAUAGUGUUAACCCUCUGAUGAAACUAAUCAUGUAGGGAAACCAAAGUUAGAAGCACAGGGGGAAAAAAAAAAAGAAAAAAAGAGAUUGGGUAAUGACAUGUUGAUAUAAGAAGAGCCAUGGGAUCUACCUUUUUCCAACUGUAAAGAGUUUACAACUAGCGAAAAACCUAUUCCAUCAUAGCUAAAGAUGAUAUUUUUUUUUUUUUUUUUUUUUUUUGGCCCAUCCUCAUCUCAAAGGUUUUAAGGAAAAAACCUUCAUGUAUAUUUCUCCAUGCGCACAAAGGACAAGGAAUUACUGUGCUCCCAAAUUGUGAAAGUAGAUAGGGACAAGCAAUGCCAUUGAUAAAGAAAUUUCGGAGUCCCUCACCUGCUGCAAAGGUUAUUUGCAAAUUAAGGAACAGGAAAUAAAGUGUAUAUAUAUAAGAUCAGUUUAUUCGCAUCAUCCGCCAUUUUUCUCAUGUUGCAUUGCAAAGUGAAACUAGUUAAGAACAUCCACUAAUUAAACGUUGAUUAAAACAGGAUUAAAGUUGCGAAAAAAAGAAAGAAGGAAAAAGAUCAAUCAUCACCAAAGAAAAAAAAAAAAAAAAAAAAAAAAAAAAAAAAAAAAAAAAAAAAAACAAAAAACAAAAAAAAAACACUUGUUGAGUAAGCUUUAUUCGAAGCCCACAAACAACUAUACAACUCCGGCCCAAAACGAGUACGGCCCACUACCUCAUACUUUACAUGUUCAAUUUGCUAGCGAGACGACACGUGUGCAGUAAAAUUCGUGCGGCUCAAUAAUGGCCUGAGGCGCAUUAAAAUUGCGGCUCUCAGCCGCUGAGUCACCCCCCAAAUUUAAUUUAAUAUUUUUUAUUUAUUUCCCCUUAACUCGGAUUCGGUUCUAUGUGAAAAUUUUGCACCCGAUCCACAAGUAACUGCGGUUAUCCUAAGCAACUUAUCCUCUUCCAAAUAAUCCUUUUUUAAAAGAAAAAAUGAUUUUUCAUUUGCAAUUUUGAUGUAGUAUUGUAUCCUGUGGUAUAAACAAACCGGAAAAAGAGUAAAUGGUAAAAAUUAUUAACAUUUUUCGCUGUCAACUUUUAGAAAGUUACACCGACUGUAUCUAGUGUAAGUGACAAAAGGUUUGGGAGUUGAUACUCGAGAUCUCAAGUUCGAAUUCUAAUUAAUUCAUAUUUUCAUUUAAGUUUAUUUUUUAAAGAAAUAAACGAAGCGAUAGCAUGCUAUCUUCUUCUCAAAAAAAAAAAAAAAAAAAAAAAAAAAAAAAAAAAAAAACUAAAAAGCAAUCUAAAAUCUCAAAACGGAAAAAUUAGUGAAAAAAAUAAAAAAGUUCCUAUUUUCGAGGAGAUCUUCUUAUACCUGACCGGGCUUUUCUUGGCACUUGGACUCCGAUCAUCUCGUCGGUCUUCCACACAGCCGGAGACUUCGCCGGAAAGCUCUUCCGCUGCAGCAGAAGCAGCUGCUNUGUGUAUAUAUAUAUAUAUAUAUAUAUAUAUAUAUAUAUAUAUAUAUAUAUAUAUAUAAAAUUGAGUUCUCUCUGAUCUUGUUGGAUUCGAGUUUUAGGAUUGAUGAGUGUGUGUGGCUCGUAUAUAUAUAUUACAAUAACAAUAACACUAUCGAUCGGAGGUGACGUGGCUCGUAGUCGUAUACUCAUCAAUCAAUCAAGGCGAAUGACUCGGUACACAUGAACAAGUUAGUUACGGCUUCGAAACCUCCCAAAGCCGCAUUUAUAGCAAAAGCGGUUUCCCAAUCCACAAGAUCGUGCUUCUUUAUAUUUUUCGGUGGCUUCUCACCACACACAACAAACACCACCAAAUUUCAUACAGAGAAAAGGACACAUUAAUUUAGAGGGUUUUUUUUUUCCUUUGAAAAAGGAACACUAUGAGCAAGCCUCGGUUUUUUCUCGCUCUGCUUCUCAUGGCAGUGCUUCUUUCUCUCUCCUUCUCUCAAGGUGGUGCCUCUCUCCUCAUCUCAUUUUUUAUUUUGUAGCUAUAUAUUUGUUUAUGUUUAAGCUUAUUUUCUCAUGUUGGUUUUUUAGGCUUUGGGAGGAGGAUUCAGGUUAUGAGCCAUUCACUUGAGCCACUGCAUGAGGUAUAUAUAUAUAUAUGUUGGAACUAUUUUCAAAUUAUUGUUUUAAAGUUUUCAGUGGGUUAUAAUUCAUUUCAGUAGCUCAGCAGAUAGUGCAUGCGACAUAAUUCACCUGAUAUAUACUUGCUGAUAACAUGGCAUUAUUGAUUAUCGAAAUAGGCUUACUUAUUAAGCAGUUUAGUUUUUAUCUUUUAUUUUUCUUAAUAUUCGAUUUCAGGAGAGUUUAAAGAUAAGGAGGGAGAUGACGGAGGAGGAGGAGAUGGACUACAGCGGCCCGAAAGCAAACACUAACCCAAAGGACGGGGGGAUAUACAAUUCCCCAGCUCCCAUUCUUCCUCCUCCAAGUCAUUAAUUGCGUAGAAAUAGCGUAAAAAGAAAAAAAAAAUUAUUUGUUUACUUGAUGCUUUUAGUCUCAAUUCUAUCUACGGUUUUUUCGUAUAAGUAGUGGAUGGUUUCAUUUGCAUGCUCAAUAAGCUCAGAUAUUACUAUUCAUGCAAAAAAGAAAAAGAUAAAAAAAAAAAGAACAAAAGCUUGUACCUCUUUUUGUAAUGCCUUCCAAUGUUUUGUAUCGAUCAACGCAUUAAUCGUGAUGCACUUUUUCGUUCCUGUGUUAGUUAGAGGCCUUGAUGGUUCCAAAAUUCAGAGGGAAAUUUAUCGUUUUUCUUUUUUGGUUCUAAGUUCGUAAUUCGAAAAAUUGUUGUCCAUAAUUAAGCAUUUAAUUAGUGUCUUUCUCACAUAUCUAGCUGACUAUUUAAGUUUUAAUGAAUGUUAGCUAUACCGAAAUGUUUACACAUUAAUUAUCAUGUCUUGUCCUUUUUUAUGAUAUGUGAAUGUCACGCGCAGAUAUUUAGCAUUAGCAAUUACGGAGAAGAUAACAUCCAUUUUUAUUUUUUGAAUGUAGAACAUGAAUUCUUUUAGGAACAAUUCAAUAGUUUUUACUGAUAAUUACGUUGUUAAUUUAGUUGGCGGAUCAACAAUGGAAGUUAAUUCAACGUCGAACGUGCAUGGGACCUUGUUAUCCAGGGAUUAAUUUAAUUAAGCCUUUUUACACCUUAGUUUUAUAUCAUUAAGCGAGCUUAAGGCAAUUUUUAGUUUAUAAACAUACGUCCAGAGAAGAACCCUUUUAUCUUGACUCGAAGACAAAUUUCUUAAACAACAGCUAAAUGUACUUGUACAGUUGUAGUUGAUUGAUUAGGUGCUUUUUGGAGAAGCACAUAUAUAGCUGACACAGCACUCAUCACCACGUAGGUAAUUAAACGAGCUCAAAGAGAACGAACUUGAAACAUUGGAAGCAGAUUGAGAAUUGUAAAGAUGUGAAAUUCAGUGUUAAAAUUAGAUAUCUGGCACUUAUUCCUCCUAACUUUUCGGUGAUUUUCUUGUAUAGAUCUCAAAUUUUGUAGCCGUUUUGAUGGUACGUAGAUCUUCAUUUCCUUCAUAAAGAAGUGAAAAACAAGAAUCAAAAUCCAAAUCAGGUGGCGUGAUCUACAUUGCUAGUCUUGUACCAAACUAAUUGACCUGAAAUUCGAACGUAAUGGAACAAAUAUUACAGCUAAUAAUCUCGAUUACACGUUUGACAAAAGAGUUCAAUUAUGUAAACAAACUGUCAAAAUUGUAGCAGAUAUAAAAAGUACAAUAAUUUGGUGUCACAAGACUAAUCUAAACCACGUCAAAACUAUUCUUCAUGUAACUUAAUUCAGUUUUGUGAGGUGUAAUUGUUACAUAACUGUGUUAAGUAAUAUUUAAAACUGGGACAUAGAUAUAUAAUAGAGGAUAAUAUAUAUUGUAUAUUGCAAAAGGUUGGACAUGUAACUAAUUAAAUCAACUAUAUUUCUAAAGAGUACGUAUCAUGUGGUACGUAGCUGCUGAGAUUAUGGUGCUUCGUGUACACCAUGUCAACAGAAGAAAAGAACAAGAAUUAAUACUGCGAUGGUAAUUUGGUAGUUAACAUUGAUUCAUAAGUACGGUAUUUAGAAUAAUGAAAGAUUAAGUAAGAAGACAUUAGUACAUUAGUCCUAUAUACGAGGCUUUCGAAGAUGCUAUAUCGAUCUCAACCUAUGACUAGAUCCAAAAGGUUUCGAGUUAAAGUUGCGGAAAAUAGUAGAAUCUGGAGUAGAAGUAGUAAAAUAGCAGAGAAAUUCUUGCUUAGUAUGGAAUAGCAGAGAAAUUCUUUAGAUACCCGAAAAAAAAAAAAAAAACAAAAUGACAUAGAAAAUGUCUAUUUCUUAUGUUACAGCGCAUAAAGCAAAAUAUGCGUUAGAAUAAUAGAAGGAUAUGUGGUUGCAAAAUAUCGAAAUAAUGACAACAUUUUGGGUUUCAAUCAAACAGUGCUAGCUUCUAUAAUGAAGAUUUAGUCAUUACUAAUUAAAUUGAAGCACAAUUUGGGACUGUGUUAUGUAUGAUGAAAAAGUAAUUAGUUUUCGUAAAUAAUAUCAUGUUGUGCAACCAUUUCACCGGAAAAUAAAAAAGCAUAUUUGUAAGUACUUUGUUUAACUCUUUUCCGCUCUUUUUCGCUUAAUAAUAUUAUGUGGCUCUCGAUACCAAACGAGCUCUAUACGCAGUAUAAAAAAGAUACAACAGUGAGUGUUGGUAGGCAGGGGAUCUGUAUAGAAGUUGGGCCCAAGCUAGGCCCGAUUCUUAUCGGAUUAAAGCCCAUUAGAUAAGGCCCACUAAUAAUUACAACUUCGCCAUUUACACUUGGUAUUUUAUGGAAAAGUAAAACGGUUGGUAAAGGGAUUAUAGUGGGUGAAUUAUUAAGAUAAGGAUAACAACCCCUGUUGUUUUGCGCUUUCUUACUUUAGUACCAUGUGAUUUAAAUAAUAUUAAUUUAAUAUCUCGUGGUUUUAUUUUUCCCUUUUUCUCAGCUCCUCCGUUAACAUUUCGUUAAAUUAUAUACAAAAAACUUCAGAUACCUCACCUAAGUUUUUCGAAUAAUCACUUUAAUAUCUUUUAGUUUUAACUUUUUUACUGAUUUAAUGAAAAAAAAUAGUGGAGAGAAUAAUAAAAAGAGAAAAAUAAAAUCAUGAGGUAAUAAAUUGAUACACUUUAAAAUAUAGAGUAUUAAAAUAAAAAAAUGCGAAAUCAUAUGGGUGGUAUCUGAUGUUUUUCUAUAAAAUAAUCUAACAACCCCUAUUUGACUACAUGUAAUGAAAUGGGAAAGGAUUCAAGGAUUUUAAACAUUCUCGAGGUAUUGUAAAGGCUUGAAUUGUAAAGGGUAAAGAAUAGUUUAAGAAAUAUGUUAUGGACUUAUUCUAUAUAAAGCUUCUCUUUUAAAAUCUCUAGAGCGUUCGAACAUUGACCACGGACAAGGUUAUAAAGUCAUUUCAUCUUCAUUCGAUAUUCAAUAAAACUAUAGCUGGUCCACUUGGGAUUGUGACCUAUCUAACCCCAAUGUGCAAAAUGGAGGUAGGGAGAAAGUAUAUAAAAAUAUGUUUAUUUAUUUUUUGGUGGGAUUAUAAAAAUAUAUCAUAAUCGACUCAUUCAUAUGUACGGAAUACGAUAAUAUUUAUGAAAACAAGCAGAAUAUUUUUUCCAUUAUACUUUAAUAAUAUCUUUCUAUAGUUUUAAAUAAAGUCUAAAUUGAUGCAAACACAAUAUUUUUUUAUUGUACUCUCUCAACAUACAUAACGUAAUUUUUCUGGAAAAAAAAUAAAAAAUAAAAAAUAAAAAGAUAAAAGUUUAGGGUGAAUUCCUCAAUCAACUAUAGUGCCUAGUUUGGGAAAAUUUUUUCAAGGUUUCUAAUUUUUUAAAAACUAUUUACUGUUAAAAAUCAAAAGUUACAAAAUAUUAAUUAACAUAAAAACUGAUGUGGCUGUUUCAGAAAUGCAUAACAUUCGGGGUAUCUCCAUACAUUUUUACCAAAAAUAAGUGUUUAAAAUUGUAAAUGUACUUCGCGAGGACGGAAAGUCAUCCCACGUUUCUUCUAACAUGCGUCGGUCAAACCGUCAAUAUAUUCGUUGACCUGCUGAACCCGCCCAAGCACGCCAACCAUAUAUAAUAAAAAAAAAUGUGAAAGCUAAAAUAUUUGCAUGAAAUCUAAAUAAGUGAUUGUUUGAAUAAUUUUUAUUCUUUUUAAUGCUUUAAUGAUGCAAAAUAAAGAAACAUAAAAAUCAUUAUUAUGUCAUACAAUUUAACAUGAUAUUAAUCAGAACAAAAAAUUCUGACGAAAUUAAUGACUAGAAAAUAUCAUUUUUUUAUUUUUAUUUUUAUUUUUUUCUCUAUUUUUAUAUGAUCAAAUUUUAAUUCAAAGAGACAAACAUAAUUUGACAUACUAACUUUUCUCUUUUUUUUUGCCUUCUCUUACGAUCUCUCUAUCCAAGUAAGUGUAAUUUUCGUGGUGAUGCAAUGCUUUUUUGUUUCUAGCACUAAUCAACCAUUGGAAUUUUCCUAUUAAUUGAAAGCUACAUUACACCCACUCACUUACAAGGAAAGUUCCUCUUUGAGUACAACUUCGCGGAAACAUCUCUCCUCUUUCCUAACACCUCUCUUUUUUCUAAAGUCGCAUACGUUUCUUCUUCUAUUCUUCCUCUUAUUCAAUUUAAUUGACACCUAUUUUGGCCUCUUAUAAACAUACUCUCCCUUAUAAACACCCCACACCUCCUCUCUUUCUCUCUCUCAUGCAUCAACAGCACAAACUGUAUACGUACACCAACCCAUCAUCAAUGGAGAAGGCACCUCAAAGCACCUUUUGCCACUCUCUCUCAUUAACCGAGCACAUCGUUUUCCUCUUCUACAACACCAUAUUCAUCUGGCUCACCAUUCUCAAUAAGUUCUCCGCGCGGUUCCUCUCCCUCCUCCUCCCGCGUCACCACGAGGAGCUCCACGCAUGCGCUGCAUCGAGAUCGCAUCAUGCGGAAAAGAACCCGCCGAGUAACCGAGGAGACGAUCUUGCGUUGUUGGGAGGAGAUGUGGAGAUCAUCCUCGAUAAGAUGGGAAUACGUUGCGAGCUUAACGGAGAGCGGUUCAAGGAGAAACUGCGCUUUGACGAGCUCUCUACUAUGUUCGAAGAGAAGGAGCCGAGCAUGGAGGAAGUUAAACAAGCUUUCGCCGUGUUUGACGAGAACAGUGAUGGGUUCAUAGAUGCUGUGGAGCUCAUGAGUGUUCUCUCUAAGCUUGGGUUUAAGGAUGGGGUAAAAUUAGAUGAGUGUGAGAGGAUGAUUGCGUCUUAUGAUGAGAAUAAGGAUGGUAGGAUCGAUUUUAAUGAGUUUAUCAAGUUUAUGGAGAGCAGUUUUUGCUGAAUUUUUUUUUUUUUUUCUUUUGGGUUCUUAUUUCUUUAUGUACAUUUUUUGCCUUUUCUUGUAAAAAAGAAAAAGGGCGAGGAAAUAAGAGAAAGUUGAACAAAUUAAGAACAACAGUUGGAAGGAAAUUUGAUUGGUUAACGCGCGCGUACAAGUCAAUAAAAUUGAUUCAUUAAUCUUUAGUCUCUGGCAUCUUUUGUUGAACAAGAUAUAUAUUUGAAGAGAAACAUUAUUAGGUAAUAUGCUACAACUUGAUGUAGAACAGUUUAGAUACAGCACAACAUGCAAUAAGUAAAAAAUAUAAGAAAAAGAAUGAUUAGUCUCCAAUUGAUUAAAUGGAAUUAGCUCAAAAGAAGUCGUAAAUUAAAACUCCCUACGAAUAUGGCCAAAUUGUAAACUCCUAAUGAGAAUUUUCAAACGUUGAAAAUCACUAGAUGGCAAUUAAUGUAUUUUGACCAAUUAUCAUCAUUAAUUUGUCCAACCACGUGUGCAAAAUUGCAAAUCUCUCCUAAUCUUUAGCCAGGUUGCAGAUUACUAUCUGAACUUUGAACUUUCAGUAUUCCUUAAAAUCUUUAAAAUCAAGGUAUUCUCUUUUUCAUCAUAUGAUAGUCACGUGUUAGUGUUUUAGGAAAAAAAAAAUGAUUAUUCUAAUGGAUUCUUUGUAGAUUAAUUAUUGCCAUGUUGGUAAAUCUAUGCAGCCGCAUAGCGUACCUAGCUUGGAAUACAUCAAAAUCCUAGCUAGGAAUACAUCAAAAUCUUAUAUUAAGCAUGCUAAUUAAUAUAAGGGCAACUCAAAAAAAUUGAACUUUGAAAUGUCCAUGCAUAACAGUACUCAGUAUCUUAUUCAGCAUCAUCUAUCAAUGGUAUCCUUCAUGAAUAGUAUAUUACUAGUGUAGAGACCCGCGCAAUACAGCGGGUAGAUAAUAAAAAUAAAUUUUAAUAUUUUAAUAAAAUUUAUAUUUACAGCUUAUAGGAAGCUAUAUCAUGUUAAGCAUACUCAAUUUGCAUGACUAAAUUCAGUUGUUAAAAAAAUAAAAUAAUAGCUAGAAGCAUAUGAAAUACAUAAAUAAUAACUUAACGUAUCUAGCUAAAGAAAAUUUUGGUUAGCGUCUCAGGCUCCAAUCUCCGCAUCAUACUUUUUAAUCUACGAAAGAAAUUUUGCCCACAACAGUGUCUACUCAAAAAAAUGAUCAUAAUAUAAAAAUAAAACAAAAAACAUCAAUCUUAAAAAAUUAAUAUUUUUUUGGAGCACUUCUCUUACUCAUCCAAAUCUCAUACAUAUUCUUAAUCUUCAGCUGGUAGUUGCUCCACGCGCCGAGUCAUUUCUGGAUUUCUAUUGUAACCUAUGAACAAACACCUCAGCUGCAUCACCAAACUGCGAUAUCUAAACCGAUACAGCCUUGCCAUCACAUCAACCACAGAAAUCCUUAUUCUUAAACAAUUUGAUUUACCAAGAAGUUCUUACGAUUCUUGAGAAGCGAGCUCCCACGCAAUGUCGCCGCGAAGAGGAGGCUAGGACGGCGCUCCCCUCGGCCUAGUUGCUGGCGCGUGCGAGCCGUGCGAGGAGGCAGCCGAGGCGGCGGCGGUUCACGGCGAGCGACGGCUCCGGUGCAGACCAACCCAGCAAGCACUUAUAUUGGCCGCGGCAGCACUUUACAAGACAGUAUUUUUUGAAGGAGACAACGUUCUUCGCAUGUUCUUCUUCUUUAUCAUCGUCAUAAUCUUUGUUAACACAAUGAGAUAGAGAGAAGGAGAUGAGUGUGGGGCGAGAGAUUAGAUGAUAAUAUUUCUUUUUGCAUGAAAAAUAACAUGUCAUGCAAGAAAGAGGGGGUGAGGGGAUUAAUGGGGGAGGGGAGUAGAUUGGUGUUACAAAACUUACUAAUUGAUGAAAUAUAAUGCAUGUAAUUAAAUAUGGAGAAGUGAAGGGUUGAGCAUUUAGAAGUGGAGAUUAAUGGUGGAAGGGAGUGGAUUGGAAUUACAAAGCUCACUAAUUGAUAGAAUAUAAUGCAUGUAAUUAAAUAUGGAGAGACAAAGGGUUUAGCAUAGCAUUUAGAAAUAAGGAUUAAUAGUGGAGGGAGUGGAUUGGAGUUACAAAUCUCACUAAUUGGUGAAAUAUAAUGCAUGUAAUUAAAUAUGGAGAAGUGAAAUAUAAUGCAUGUAAUUAAAUAUGGAGAGGUGAAGGGUUACGCAUUUAGAAGUGGAGAAUAAACGUAAAUUUUAUAUUGGGGAUUCAUAUAAGAGAUAGAUAUUAUCUAUUAACCUAAGAAUGAAGGGUUUCUUGCCACGUGGCAAGAAACAUUGUGGAUUCAUUAUGUUUAAUAGAUUAUUACUAUUAUUAUUAUUAUUAUUUGGAUGUAAUAAUAUAUUUUUUGUGGUUUAGGACCGUCAAUGAGCCGAACACGAGACGAGUUCAUUAAAUUAUUGAACUGAAAAAUACAGCCGUAUUUAGAUUAUUUAUUAACAAGUCAGACAUGAGUUGGCUCACGAAUAAUAAAUUAUAUUGUUAGUCUUAUUAUUAGUUAAAAAUUAAGUUGAAAAAAGCUAAAAGAUUAGAAUCUAAAUUUAAUAAUUGAAAUUCAUAAAUAUUAGUGUCUUUAUAUUGGAUUGGCCGAAAAUUUAAAUAGUAGAAGCUUUAUAUANAUAUAUAUAUAUAUAUAUAUAUAAUUAUGCUACUAUACUAUCAAUAGUACCAAGCCCUUGGUACUCUAUACUUGAAUGCAAUCGGUAGCAAACGGGCUCUAUUGCCACUCAUUUAUUUUCGAUGAUGGAGCCUCCAAAUCGACGAUCGACACCGUUGAAUAUGAUCUAUACCACUUGAAGUAUUUGAAAAUCAAAUUUCAAAUCUUUUCGACAUUAUUGACUUAAUGAUUAAAUGAUUUGAAAUUUUGUAAUUUUAAUAGUCGAUAUAAGACGUUUUCUUAUUUGACAGUGUAAAAAUAUUUAAAUCAAUUGAAUUUUGGUUAGAAAAUUUCUUAAACUAUUUAGAACAAGAUUUAUACUCUCAAUCUUGAUUAUAAAAUUUCUAUCAUCACUUUUUAAAAGAUAUUCAUUCUCAGCCGUUCAUUUUUGUGUUUACUUGAUAGACAAGAGAACAGUAUCGAAAAAAUAUAAAAUUUGAUAUCUAGAUAUUUCAAAUGGUAUAGAUCAUAUAUGUUUAAUGGUGCUGAUCAUCAAUUUGGAGGUUCCGUCAUAAAAAACAAAUGGAUGACAAUGGAGUCUAUUUGCUACCAAUAGCACUUUAGCUCAAUUAUAUAUAUAGUAUGAUCUAACGGAUGAAAAUGGUCAAAAGGAUAAAUUUAACGAUAAAAAAUUUAUAAGUACUGAUGAAUAAAAAAGAAUUUAUACUCAUAAGAAUAUAU
rnacentral:lncRNA from 1 species